UUUGAUAAUCCAACGAUUAUGAUUUGAUGAAUUCAGCUCAAGAUUCUGAAUUAUCUAUCAUUAGAAGGAGAGUUAUUAUUAAUUUCGCGGGUCAAGUUAUUCAUUUAAAUGUAAUGGAAAUAUUAUUUCUAUUUAUUAUUUUACCAAGUCGUGGAUUUAUUCCGACUUUAGAGCGAAUUAAAUCUGAGGAUUUAAUUUAUUAUUAUUAUGAGAUGCGCGAUAGAGCAAAGCCGGAGAUUAGUUAUACAUAUACGAGGAUAACAGAAGGACUUUAGUGUCAUCACAUCCAUUACAAUUUUUACUCCUACAAUCUAUCUAGUAGUAAAAAAAAAAAGGGAAAAGACAAAAAGAGAAGAAAAGGGGGGAAGGGACGUGCUGUCUAAGGGCAGCUGCACAUCAGCUCCCAUCCCUCCUCUGCACUAACAUCCCCUCCACAUGCAUCAACCCAUGCCAAGGUACACCUAAAGGGUCAUUUCAGCCACCCCUACUGUUCCACCUUUUAGACGCUCAAGUAUGCAGCCACCAAAGGCCAUCCCUAUCCCUCAUCAAUCAACCAACAACUCCUUCCCUUAAAAUCUCAUUUUUCAGCUAGCACUCCCCUUAUUUUUCUUCCUUGGUGCAUCGGCAAUCAAAACAAAAGGGGGGAGAUUCAUUUGUGCUGCCAGAGUUUCUAUCCAUUGAACUCCAGAGCAACCAACCAAAAACACAAGAACAUUCAAGAUUGAGCUGUGAUGGACGAUGAAGUGUUGCUGAGUGGAGCUUUUGUCGAACUGAAAUUAGGCUCAGAAAAGAUAUAUGUUUGCAUACAUGUAUCUCAGUUAUGUCUUCCGCUGCAAACACUGAUUAUGUUUUAGUCAAGUCUAUAACUAUGCCAAUUACUCUUCAAAGAAAUAUCUAAUGCUUACUCGGGUUCAUCGAGUAUCCUUUUUAA